UACGUAGGGGGCAAGCGUUGUCCGGAUUUAUUGGGCGUAAAGAGCGUGUAGGCGGCCAGGUAGGUCUGCUGUGAAAGUCAAAGGCUCAACCUUUGAAUGUCAGCGGAUACUGCCGGGCUAGAGUCCGGAAGAGGCGAGUGGAAUUCCUGGUGUAGCGGUGGAAUGCGCAGAUAUCAGGAGGAACACCAACGGCGAAGGCAGCUCGCUGGGACGGUACUGACGCUGAGGCGCGAAAGCGUGGGGAGCGAACAGG
rnacentral:rRNA from 1 species